AUUGAACUCAUGUUGUCUUCCCUUUCUUAAGACUUUAACUAAGACUGUUUCGCCUGGUUUCUUUAGAGGAAACAAAUAAUUGAAAUCCACGGGUUCUUCUUCGCGAAAAGGAAUUGCAUGCAUGCAACAAAUAUAAAUCCAUUUCAACAAACACUCAUCAUUGGGAGUAUAGUACUACCCAUAUAUACUUUUUUAGGAGUAUUACCUGUCCCAUUAUUUCCUAUAGAAACACCAUCAAUGGCAAGAAUGGCAUCUUCUUUCUUCAGAAUCCCAUGAGCGCCAGACAGCGGAUACACUUCGUUUAUAAGUACUCCUGUCAUUUCA
rnacentral:lncRNA from 1 species